CGGUUAAAAAGCUCGUAGUUGGAUUUCUGUUGAGGACAGGCGGUCCGCACUUCGUGCGUGUAUCUGUUUUGUCCUUGGCAUCCUUUCAAGGAACGUAACUGUGCUUAAUUGCAUGGUGCGGUACUUGAAACUUUUACUUUGAGGAAAUUAGAGUGUUCACGGCAGGCUAACGCCUUGAAUAUAUUAGCAUGGAAUAAUAAUAUAGGAUCUUGGGUCUAUUUUGUUGGUUUCUAGAGCUAAGAUAAUGAUUAAUAGGGACAAUUGGGGGCAUUCGUAUUAACACGUCAGAGGUGGAAUUCUUGGAUUGUGUUACGACGAACUACUGCGAAAGCAUUUGCCAAGGAUGUUUUCAUUGAUCAAGAACGAAAGUGAGGGGAUCGAAGAUGAUUAGAUACCGUCGUAGUCUUCACCAUAAACUAUGCCGACUAGAGAUUGGAGGUUCGUUUCUAUAUGACUCCUUCAGCACCUUAUGAGAAAUCAAAGUCUUUGGGUUCCGGGGGGAGUAUGGUCGCAAGGCUGAAACUUAAAGGAAUUGACGGAAGGGCACCACCAGGAGUGGAGCCUGCGGCUUAAUUUGACUCAACACGGGAAAAACUUACCA
rnacentral:rRNA from 1 species